GGACUUCCGGUCGGCGCCAGCGUUUAAUGGCGGUCCUCGCUUCGAGCUCCGGAGGAGGACUGCUUCGCGAGUUCGGGUCUGACCCGCUACGGCGAGCGGGGGACCCCUAAAAUCACAGGCGCUGAAGCCUGUGAACAAGGAGACUCGGUGGGCACCUUUUGCCCCCCGGUACUGUGAAAGAGCCUUUUUAAGGCUACGGAGCGGCAUCGGGGGUGAGCGCGGUGCUGAGAGUCGCAACCCAGCUCGUGGAGUGAAGCCGCAUCGCCAUGAACGGAGAGCGCCGAUUCCUUCCUGAACCAGAAAUUCGACUGUAAACCCCGUGAGUAAGACGGAGGGAUUGAACGGGACAUUUAAAUUUAAAUUCUGAAAUUUGGCUGAAAACGGGAAAGGCAUAAAUUAAGGAAGUCUGCCUCCCCGAUCUGCAUGGCAAUUAAAGCAACGAAAGAGUAAAGCUGCAUUUGAAAGAAAAUUAUCUUUGAGCUGUCAAACCUGACAUUUGACUUAAACUUCCCCCCAGUAAGCAGGAGAAGGGGGGAAGAAAACUGGACACUGUUAAUCUGCCUGAAAUUAACUGAGGAAAAAAACAUCUUUCACUGCCAAAUCCCCUGAACGGACUGCCUGAGUAAGGCACUGGGAAAGUGAACUGUCAGUUUAGACUGGAUACAAAGUUGGGGUUUUGUCUGAGACAAAGUUACGGGACUUUAAUGGAAUUACUUUGUUGAACUUGUGACUAUACUGAAAAAGUGCGACAGAAACUUUUACUGUGGACUCUUGGAUUUUUUGUUGAUUGCUCUAUGUUCCUUUGUUCUUUCUCUCUUCACUUGGAUACAAUUAAAUGCUCCCUCUAGAGGGUAUAAAGAGAAACUGUUAUAGUGAAAAAGAAACAGUGGGAUUUUCCACUUGCAAGUCUUUCCUGUGAGAACGACCUUGAGGAUAUGAGUGGUCCAGCAGAAGAGAUAACAACUAGAUCCAAAGCAAAACAGACACAAAAGAAAAGGGGCUCAAUAUCUGGCAUACCACCAGCUGCACAGGAAAAAGUGGCAACAGCAUCUAUGGAUUCAAUGACACAGGCACUGCUCAAAAUAAACCAAUCUUUAGAAGCACUGACAAAGCUAUCUACGGAAAAUUCAAAAAAUUGACAGAACUGACAGCAAGAUUGGACUUGAAUACUGCAAGUGUAACAUCUAAUACAGAAUCUAUUAAUAAAUUAAUUCAAGAAAGUUCUGAAACACGAAAGAUUGCUGAAAGUGCAAAAAUACUGCAGAGGAGACAAGGGAGGAGCUUGUGCCGAUUAC